CAAAGGGGCCGUCUCCCGCCGUCUCAGCCUUGAGAAUCUCCUGCAAAGCAGAAUGCUUCUUUAGAAGAGAUCUGGAAAGUGAUGAGCAUGGAUCGCCCUCAAGGCAGGUGCCGCGAUGGAGCAGGGUCACCUGGAGCAAACGCCCUUCUUGGAGCAAGAGCCAGAAGGACAAUCCCUGACAAGUGGAGACGAUACACUAGAAAGGCUGUUGGAGAUGAAUGCUUGAGACAAGCUUUGACUGCAUGAUUCAUUCGCCAGCCAAUCCAUCCUGUCUGAACGACUUCAAUUAUAUCGACUUCCUGUGAAGGCUCAG